GACGGGACCCGCGACAAGCAGCGGAGCAUGUGGUUUAAUUCGAAGCAACGCGAAGAACCUUACCAGAUCUUGACAUCCAAUUGACCAUCUUUUAAUCGAGAUUUUGCCUUCGGGUACAAUUGAGACAGGUGGUGCAUGGUUGUCGUCAGCUCGUGUCGUGAGAUGUUGGGUUAAGUCCCGCAACGAGCGCAACCCUUGUGUUUAGCUGCAAACAGGUCAAGCUGUGCACUCUAGACAGACUGCCGUGGACAACACGGAGGAAGGUGGGGAUGACGUCAAAUCAUCAUGCCCCUUAUGAUCUGGGCUACACACGUGCUACAAUGGCCGGUACAACGGGCAGCGAAGGAGCGAUCCGGAGCGAAUCCUAAAAAGCCGGUCCCAGUUCGGAUUGCAGGCUGAAACUCGCCUACAUGAAGUUGGAGUUGCUAGUAAUCGCGAAUCAGAAUGUCGCGGUGAAUGCGUUCCCGGGUCUU
rnacentral:rRNA from 1 species